rnacentral:tRNA from 1 species
GGCCACGGGUGCGCUCGGACGGACGGACUUCUAAUCCGCUGGUCGGAAGUUCGAAUCUUCCCGAGGGCGCCA